rnacentral:rRNA from 1 species
AGUGAACGCUGGCGGUAGGCCUAACACAUGCAAGUCGAACGGCAGCACAGUAAGAGCUUGCUCUUACGGGUGGCGAGUGGCGGACGGGUGAGGAAUACAUCGGAAUCUACUUUUUCGUGGGGGAUAACGUAGGGAAACUUACGCUAAUACCGCAUACGACCUACGGGUGAUAGCAGGGGAUCUUCGGACCUUGCGCGAUUGAAUGAGCCGAUGUCGGAUUAGCUAGUUGGCGGGGUAAAGGCCCACCAAGGCGACGAUCCGUAGCUGGUCUGAGAGGAUGAUCAGCCACACUGGAACUGAGACACGGUCCAGACUCCUACGGGAGGCAGCAGUGGGGAAUAUUGGACAAUGGGCGCAAGCCUGAUCCAGCCAUACCGCGUGGGUGAAGAAGGCCUUCGGGUUGUAAAGCCCUUUUGUUGGGAAAGAAAAGCAGCAGGUUAAUACCCCGCUGUUCUGACGGUACCUAAAGAAUAAGCACCGGCUAACUUCGUG